UACGUAGGGUGCAAGCGUUAAUCGGAAUUACUGGGCGUAAAGCGUGCGCAGGCGGCUUUGCAAGACAGAUGUGAAAUGCCCGGGCUUAACCUGGGAACUGCAUUUGUGACUGCAUGGCUAGAAUCUGGCAGAGGGGGGUAGAAUUCCACGUGUAGCAGUGAAAUGCGUAGAUAUGUGGAGGAAUACCGAUGGCGAAGGCAGCCCCCUGGGCUAAGAUUGACGCUCAUGCACGAAAGCGUGGGGAGCAAACAGG
rnacentral:rRNA from 1 species